CAUAUGAAAUAUUGUCCAUAUGAGACCCAUAUGUUUUUGAUAUGAAAACCAUAUACAUAUCUUAUUGCAUUAUGAAAACAAAAUGGCGGAGACAAUGAUGAUCUGUACAACAUACUCCUCCGGGAACUGUUCAGAAUUAGAGCUACAUGUGAUUUUGCGCGUUUUGGUCUUUUUUAGAUGGAAUGGCCUAAAUACAUGCAGCGCGGGUCAUAAAUCAUGAGGGUGGAGUUGGGGGAUCUCCAUAAUAAAGAUUUUGUAAUUUUAACUUCAAACUAAUGAGUUUAAGAUGCGAUUUUUAGCCCCUUUAAAUGUUAAAACUUUAUUUUUCGGACAAGCAGUAAAAUGCAUAAACAGACAAAGCGGUUGGUGCGUGGGCUUUGGCAAAUUAGGGGAUCUCCCCUAAAAACAUUUUUAAGGCGAAAACCGUGCACUUUGAUGAGUUCUCGGUAUAAUUCUAUGUUCUGUUUUCCUUGAAACUUGAUACUGUAACAAAAACAAAAAUCGGACGAUUUUGCGACCUCUCUCCCCGCCCCCAACACCACCGAAGUUGCGGCUACGCUAUAUACUGCUAAAAAGAUCUUCUUUGGCAUCUAAUCGCUACAGAAUAGUUCACAUUUUGAGAAUAUUACCGGACUUUGAUCUAUGACCUUGACCCCUAACUGACCGGGUUCGAACCCGACUUGACCUGUUUUCUCUAGGGACAAUGUUUGUUUUGCAACAAUGUUUCAUUUAUUAAAAUCAGACAUCAGGUUAUAAAGAUAUGACUCCUCUGACAAUGCUCACCUCUCUGUUCUCUAUUUAAUAUAAUUAUAAAGAAUGCAUAUUUUCACAAAAAAUGAUACAUUUUAAGACGGUCCCACGACGAAACUGUAGGCGGUAAAAAUAUACAAGUUAUAUAUCUCUUUACACAAUGUAUUAGAUUUAAUCAUAAAAGUUAUUUCAUAAACAUAUCUUGUUACUGGAACAUUCUACAAUUAUUUGAAGUUAAUGAAAAACACGGACGUUUUUCCGUACAGAAAAUUACGGAAACACAGCUUUUAUCCUAAAUUACGUACAGACGGACGAACAUAUGUUGUUUGUUCUUGUCACAAACUUUCAGAUUUUGACAUUUCUAUCAAAACAAGUAUUUCCUUGCAGUUAUUUACCCAAAAUAAAUAUUUUAUACGCAGUUUUUCCUUAUUUUACGGCUAAUAUUUUAAGUCAAAAAGGUUAAAGUUCAUGCAGGAAAUGUUCCCGGUGUGUCCGUCGAGGAAGAAAAUCGUUUUUCAUAUUCGUUUAAACAAUAUUUCCAACUACUUAUUAAAAGAAAUUUCAGUUUUAUAACAUAUUCCUAACGUUUUUUAUAAUAAAAUGAAAUUGAUGAAUUUUUCGAAAAAAUGCGAUGAGAAUUAGCGUUAAUUAAAUGGUCCCUAUCGCCAGUCUACAGAUCGUACAGACAGACAAAACUUACUGAAACUAUUUAUUUCAGUAGAAAUAAUUGAUAUACACCAAAGCGUGUUACUUCAGAGCCUUAGUUGAUGAACUUUUUUUUAGGAAAAUAAGGUGUAUUGUCGUGCAUUCUUUACUUUUUGACAUGGCACCCAUGUUCGAGCCUGUAGGCCUACGACUCUUAUGGUCGGGUUUGAGCCUUUAUGAAAUAGUUAUUAAAUAGUUCUACAAAUACAUGUAAUAUUUAUUAAUACAUCUUUAGUACUUUUGUCAUAAUAUCUGAUUGAAAAUGACCAAUUUUUGAAAGCAAAAUAUUAACAACAUUUGAUCUAAAUAACCUCGACAUGCGAUAAUUUUGCGAUAUUUGAGCGACAGACUGUCGUGUGUCGUUGCUCGUUGUCGUGUGUCGCGUUGAAUGUCGUGUGUCGUGGUUAAGCAUUUUAUGUCGACAGUCGACAAUUCCACGACAUGAUAUAAUAUCGAGUUUCGUUGUACAUUGCCGUGUCCAAAUUAAUGAAACAGUUCAAUAUUUUUCAUAGCGUCAGCACUAUCUAGAUCUAGAUUUGUAAAGAGAAUUGAGACAAGCAAAAUACACUGAAACCGCUAUAAACUGGAAUCCUUGAAAACCGGAAACUCAUCCAACUUUGAGAAAUUUUGGUGUCGCAAUUGAAAAACAUCCAUGUUAACUCAUGAAGUUGUACAGCUAUUAGGCCCCUAACCCGCGUGAAAAGUGAACGACCUUCAAGGGAGUCCGACUGUUAAUUUGCAGUUACCGUUACCAUGAUUGCGUGCUUAAUUCAAUCUUUAAGUAGGCAUAGGACAUAAAUCUGGUAAAUUAAAGAUAAGUAACUGAAUAGGAUUAGAUAUUAAACAUAGGCCUAUCAGAUUUCCAUGUAAUUAUAUUAAAUAUUUUGUUAACUUAAUAUAUAGCAAUUAUUCUCAUUAGAAAAUCACUUUAAACAAAAAAAAAAAAAAAAAAAAAAAAAAAAAAAAAAAAAAAAAAAAAAAAAAACAUCUCCGCAUUGAACUUAAAGAAAUUAACUUUUAUCUGAUAGCUGUUCUUUAAGAAAGGUUCCACUAUACUGCCACACUGUGAAAAAAAAAACACGAACGGAUAUGAGUAAGUUUGAAAAUACAGCACUAAUUGCAAUAAGAAUACAAAUGUCAAAAUAUUUAUCAUAUGACGACCGACUACAACGUAAGUUACAAAGAAACAAAAACACGUUUGAUAACAUAGGCUAAUUAAAAAGUUCAGUUUGUUAUCAAGCAAUAACAGCGGUUUGGUGCAUAUAUAUGUAGCGUCUUUAAUAAAAUUUGUGACACAUAAAAACCUAUUUUUACCAUGUAUAGAUCUACAUUAAAAAUAUCCUAUUUCCGAACACCGUAUCCGGUACAGGUACGGCACUGAAACUGAAUAUCGGAUGGAAACCGAGUUGUUCCGAAUUGAGCGUUUGUUUACAAAUGGAUGACAUACACGCGAAAUUACAUCCACAACAAUUCAAGCAGCGCACUGACAAAUUACUGACAAGAAAGACAAAUGGCAGGUCAGCUUAAAGGCUACGCACUGACUGAAUCAAGGGCAAUCAUGAUAGAUCUAUGCGAUACCAUACUGAUUCCGUAAAGGCGAGCAGGAAGCGCCGCAGAUGAAGUUGUCAUCUACUGUAUGUUUAGAAGAAUGUUACAUCAUGUAAAAUCUACAAUGAAAUGUCAAGAUAAAGUAAUCUGCUGGUGGAAAUUGAGUCAUUCGGUUUAACAAACUUUCAAGAUGUGCGUAUCCAGGUGACAUUAUUUUAGUUGCUAGCCCAUUGAAAAUGAUGGGUACAGAUAAUGUUUUUACGCUCUUUGAACAGUAAAGAUGAACUAAGGUAAUGGAACUUAGCAUUGUGCCCUCACUGCCUAGCUGCAGGGCAAACCAGGAAUAUCUUCAUCCACUUUUGAUCAAGAAUCUGAUAGCGCCAUUAGCGGCUAUUUUGAUAUGAGCGGAGGUUCCACAGCCUGAGGCAGGACCUGGUGACCACCAACUCUCAGUCUCUUGCAAACGUUCCCUCAAGGGGUUUGACGUCAACGGAAGAUAGAGAAGAACUUAUCAUGGUGCAGUGCAAUCUAGCAGAAUCAGCCUCUCAUGUGAAUGGAUGAAAAAAAACACUGGAGCCUGAAGGGGUGCUUCAAAUGGUCCUGUUACCAGAAUAUUUGGUCACAGUUAAAACAAUUGAAUAAGAAUAGUAUAUAAACUUGGAAGUCUAAAUGCAUGCUUGACAUAUUUUUUGGGCAAGUGGAAAAAGCUGACAAUUAUAAGCUACAUUUACAGUACAGAGUGUUCUAAAUUCUACAUAGGCCAGGAACAAAGUCUGCAAAGAUUUAAUUGUUACAAUAGUGCAGAAUGAGAUACUGGUAAUUAACUGGAUUAGCAUUCAUGUCAGCAGUCAAUCAAAACUUCGGUGUCAGAAAUGCUUGAUAUCUAUGGAAAUCAGAUGUAUCAUAUCUGGCCUAAUACGAAAUAACGAGUUAAAUUAUUUUGAUUUUGGGCAAAGACUAAAAAAAAUUUUUGUUUCCGGUAACAUGCUAAAAAAAUUAGGGUAGGUAGGACGGAAAAAAAAUUAAAAAAAAUUUAUUAAGGGAAACUUUUGGGAAAUCAUUUUUGUGUCAAAAAAUGAAUACAAAUAAGGGGGGUUAUGCCUUUAGAGCGUCAGUAAGUUGAUUUCUAACAUUACUGGCCAUGUUUAAAGCAUAAUAAAUUCAGCUUAUCAACUUUUUAUUAAAAAGUUGAAAAAACUUCUCCAAGGCUAUAAAAACUUAAAGGGUCGGGCCAAAAAUUUAAGAUAGGCUGGGAUGUCGGAAACAAACAAUUUUUUACACCCUCAGCCCUUUUUUUAUGGUUUUGGGGAAGGGUGGUGGGUCCUUUCAGAAGGGGAAAUUUGCGUCGUAAAAUACCAAAUUGGGGAAUUUUUUAUAUAUAUAAAAAAACAACAACAAAAACACACAGAUUGAGUAAGAUCAAGGCCUCCCCUGGCUGUUUCACACUUUUUGCCAUGACUUAAGCCAAUUGCAAAAUCUUGGGACCAUUUCAUACCCUACUGUAAAGUGCCAGAAUUAGAAGCCAUUGUUUUUUUUAAAUCUCUAUUUCAUUUUAUACUUUAACCAAGCAAUUUGCCCUUGAACCAUUUUGUCCUAAUAUCACAUUGAAUCAAAAAUAGUUUUUAAUCUUGUCAUUAAAAUGUUUAAAUCAUUUUUCAAGAACAAUUUCAAAGCUAAAGUAAUUGCUCAAUGUAUGAAAUUAUUCCUUUAAUAGUUUGCAAUUUUUGAAUUAUCUCCCUUUAAUGGGCAUUUUUCACUACUUAGAUGUUUAUAAAGCAUUAAUAUUUAGUUCUUUAUUUUUGACCUUUGUAUUUCAAACUUAAUAUAAGGUCAUUUAUCAAAAAUAGGGUUGUCCUUUUUUAUUUUAUGACUUUUAAAAAGCUUUUUAAAUGCUUUUAAUUGCAUUAUAUAUAAAUCUCAAUUUACAAUCUAGUCCAUACAUAUUACUGUAUAGCGAAAAUACCACCUAAAGGUAUGAUUAGCACUUUGUUUUGAAGCACUUGGGAGGUGCUUUAAAAAAUCCAUCCCCAUGUAUCAAUGCUUUACAUUGGGCACCUGAAAGAACCAAAGGAACUGCUUUAGUUCAUUUGUAUCUCAAACUUUCUUCACUGAAAUUUAAGGAACGCGAGUGAAAUGCUGGGCGGACCGACAUGUUUACGCAUAGACUGAAAUGAACGCAAGUGAAAUGUUGGGCAGACCGAAAUGUUUACGCGUAGACUGAAAUGAACGCGACCGCGAUUGAAAUCAUUUCACGAUCGCGCAAAUUAUUUGUGAGCCGUUCGACUUAACAAUAUUUCCAGAUUUUUUCGUUCAUUACUUCCGCAAAUCGGCUUGUUAUUAGAUAAAUAUCCGCAAAUCGGAUUGUUGUAGAUAAAUAUAUCCGCGAAUCAGAAAUUCUGGAAAGGCUUUUCUUUGGAAAGGGAAAUUCCCGAUGACCGACGCUAACGGUAAUAUCUGAGAUGUUCCGAUUGCGGCGUUUCUAGAAGCGGUGUUUAGAACGCAUAUACAUUCGGACCUAUUUAUUCAUCGGGGGUGGAAAUUUUCGCUGAUAAAAACGACUUGCAAUUGGGGAAUUUUUUAGUGCAGUUGGGGAUAAAAGUAUAUUAUUUUGCCUGGGGAAUGGGGCCAAAGUUCGGCCCCAAAAUCGGCGUAAAAAAAGGGCUGACCCUAUAUUGAGCCUAUAUCAGUAUUCCGAUUAUUUUGAAAACAAUGCCAAGAAAUUGGCAUUUGUCACAAUUGUGUGUGAUAAUAAAUCAUUUUACAUGCAGGGUUGGAAUAAUUAAGCCCGCAUACUUGCAAUGUGCAUGUGACUUUUGCCCAAACUCAGUAUCACAAAAUUUUGCUGGUGCUAACUUAAAUGGAAUCGACAGCAUUUAUCAUUUCUUUGACAUUCUGUUUCGAUCUGCUGUAAAUAUGUAUUCAUUCAUGGUGCUUUACAUGAUACGCACAAUUGAUGAUGUUUUUACAUAGUGUGCAGCCUGGCAGAGGUGGCAGAAUCUGAUUUUGACUUGCUUGUUUUUGCCAAUUGCUAUUUUUAGCUCGACUAUUUGAAGGAUAGGGAAACUAUCCUACUCGCCCUGGUGUGAGCGUCACACAAAUGUUAAAGUUAGCGUACCACCCCAAAUAUUUUCAAAGUUCAUUGAGAUAUUGCUUUCAUAUUUUGCAUACGUGUUUACCAUCAUGACACCAGUCUGUAAAAAGGAGGAGGCAACUCUAUCAAGCAUUUUGACUGAAUUAUGGCCCCUUUUCGACUUAGAAUAUGCUUAUUGUAAUGUUAAAGUUUUACUCAUUGCUUAUAUUAUACUAUCAAGCACUGAGAAUAGUCGAGCGCGCUGUCCACUGACAGCUCUUGUCUACUUGUCCGUAUGAUAGUUAUAAAUAUAGUAAAUUCUGGUCAAAUUUCACUUGUCCGUACAAGUUUUGGGACAACCUGGGCAAUACGGACAACUGAAUUUGCCACCCCUGCCUGGUUACAACAUGAUAUUUUAUUUGUGUCUGCUUGUGUAUUGUGGCGUAAGAAGGUAAAUAUGAAGUAUUUCUACAAUUAUAUUGUGGAGUAAGUAAGUAUGAAGUGUGACUGCAGUUGUAUUGUAGAGUAAGUAUAUUAAAGAUAUAUUAAAGUAGAUCUAUGGUAAUUAUGAAUACAUUGCAGGGAUCACUUUUGGUCGCGAUUUCGUGAUAUUCUCGCAUUAUUUUGGUGAAAAUCGCAUAAAUUUUGCUCAAAUGCGCUUAAAAAUCGCAUCCGCGUGGCUGUAGAUCUUUUGCCGAAAUUGCAACUUUUCGCUGCAAUGCGGUCUUGCCGUUACUUAAUUUUCGUAUGACGUUCAUUUAGGCGCUUGAAUUUCGCUUUUAUCUCCAUAGAGCGUCCGAUGAUUAUGACUACCAGACAAAAAUAAUCUGUUUUCGCGAUGUUUCAAAAUACCACUGAAACAGAAAUUUAAGCAUUUGGAAGGGCAAACUUUCUGCCUCUAUUCGCGCGGAUGAAUAGCGAUGAGAAUAACAAGAUGGUGGAGAAACCGCCGGUGAAGUCCCUUCAUAAAAAACGCUGAACGCCCGAAUUUCUAAACGAAAUGGUUGAGGGUAGGGUUAUAAAUAAGUUUGACUUUAAAAUUGUUUUGACCUAAUGGAAGUGUAUCAAGUCCAGAAAGAUUAAAACACAACUGAACUUCAACUUUGACAAAGCAGCUUUGAAGUAAAAUCAUUAAGGGAAAAAUGCAUGUGGACCCAAGGCAUGGUUACAACUUUCAUCAACCUAUUCAGCAAUUCCUGGCACUGAAUUUUAGAGUUGUAAAUGGUGUCUCUGUAAGGAACUGUUUUGUUUAUUUACAAGAUAAUUGUUCUUACAAAUAAACAGGUGUUUGCUUAAAUUCAGUGUAAUAAAAGCUGUCCGCCGAUGUACAAUCUCAUUAUAAAAAGAAAAAAUCCCAUUCAUUUUGUCAAAAAUCUCAUUGAUUCAAGGCAAAUGGGAAUUAAUCUCAUUAUAGUAUCUGCCAAAAGUGAUCCCUGCAUUGUCAUGGAGUAAGUAUGAAGUGCGUUCACAAUUGUGUCAUGGAGUACUUUUGAAGUACAACCACGUUUAUAUCGUAGAAUAAGUAUGAAAUAUGUCUAUACAGUAUGUUGUAUUGUGAAGUAUAAAGUAGUCUACAGAUGUAUGGUGGAGUAAGUAUGAAGUAUAUCUAUAGAUGUAUGGUGGAAUACGUAUGAAGUAUGUCUACAGAUGUAUCAUGGAGUAAGUAUGAAGUAUGUUUACAGAUGUAUGGUGGAAUACGUAUGAAGUAUGUCUACAGAUGUAUCAUGGAGUAAGUAUGAAGUAUGUUUACAGAUGUAUGAUGGGAUAAGUAUGAAAUUUGUAUACAGAUGUAUCAUGGAAUAAGUAUGAGGUAUGUCUACAGAUGUGUCAUGGUGUAAAUAUGAAGUAUAUCUACAUAUGUAUCAUGGAGUAAGUAUGAAGUAUGUCUACAGAUGUAUGGUGGGAUAAGUAUGAACUUGAAGUUUGACUAUAGUCGUAUUGUGUAGUAUUUAUAAAGUAUGAUAACAGAACUUUGUGUCAUGGAGUAAGUGGCAGUGUGAAAUAUGUCUAUGUAGCUAACUAGUUGAGUAUAUAUGCAUGAGGUAUGCCAGCAGUAGUAUUUUGGAGUAAGUAUAAAGUACCUCCACAGUUUUAUACUUGAGUAAGUAUGAAGUAAUUCCAUAGCUGUGUCAUGGAGUAAGUAUGAAGUGCAUCUACAGUUGUGUCAUUGAGUAAGUAUAAAGUACACUCAGUGUCAUGGAUUUAGUAUAGAGUGCUUUCACAGUUGUAAUUUGUUGAUCAAGUAUGAAAAGUUAUAAUGAAUGUUUAAAGUUGUAUUAUGUAUAAUAUGGAAUAAGUAUGAAUUAUGUCAUCAGUUGUAUUGUGUAUCAAACAUUAGAUUUGUCUACAAGUUAUGUUAUGAAUUUUUUAUACUCACUAAAAAGCACUUGAAUUCUAACCCUGACAUGCACAUUUAUAGUACAUAUAAGCUGUGACUGUUUUACUGUUGGGCAUUAGUAUCAUGUAUAAAUUUGUUAAAGAUGAUAAAUUUUGCAGAUGAUCACAUCAUGUACUGUUAAUUCCUGAUUCAUCAAUGCCAUGAUUGAACAGCAAUUCACUAGUAAACGUUUCAUUGCAUAUAGAAACAAGCAACUCUGCAGUCUUCUAAAUUUCUUUUGAAAAGUCAACUUUGAUCUUAAAGUUGUAUGAUACUGUUUAAUAUUUUCCUUUUUGGGAUGGCUACCCAUUAGAUAAUCUUAAAAAAAGUCACAUUAUAUUUUGACCUUAUCAGUCUUGGCUUCAUUAAUCAUUAAAAGUGUUUUGAGAAGAAAAUGGAUAUAAUUGCACAAAAUUUGAAUAGCCUUAGAAGUUAAUAUCAGGGUCUGAACACAGACUAAUGUUUAUUUUUCUGUUUUAGAUAAAUUGUUCUUCAACAAACAAUAAUUACAUUUUGUUUUUGACAUAGCUUUACUGUUUAAACUUGUUAGAUAUUGUAUGUCACUAUAGACACACUUAUUAUUUUAAGAAUCCUUGUUAAAGAGAUUUGAGACAAAUUGUUUAUAGUGUAAUAGUAACAUGAUAUCUACAGUCUGAUGUAUUACUAUACACCACAGGCAUUGGGUUAUAAUUACAUGUAUUGUCAAAAUAUAUCAUAUCAGAUUGUUUUUUUUUUGUUAAUCUUGAGAAAUAUGCACAAGUUGUGCUGUCGAAAUAUUGCUUAACUUUUUUAGUGCAGCAUUACUAUGCAAAAAGAACUGAAACAAAGCAUAUUGUGAAGUCAAUGAUUCAGUUUUCAUCAAACAUAUUUAAGAAACAGUUUACUAAAUCUUCAAAGAUCAUUAAGUUGCAUUUCAAUACUAUUUUCAAAAGAAUGUAUUUUCUGUUGUGAAUUAUUUAAAGAAGUUGUUGAGAAUCUUUUUGUGAUUGCUUUCUUCUAUUUAAUAAGGCUCCCAUGUUAACAUGUUUAAAUGAGUCCUUGUCAUGUUUGACUGGUAAAUGUUUACAAAAUUUCUAUCCAGUUAAACAAAACGAUCAUCCUUAGAACAACCAUGUCUUUCUGAUUGAAACAUGUUUUCUGUCUGUUAAAGAUAUUAGAUUUGUCUUUUGCAGUAAACAGGGAGUCGCCGUAUUUGCCCACUUGUUCGGUUCAAAGAUUGAUUAAUUUCAAAAAUGGAUUGCUCCAUUUUGAAAUACAUUUGCAUCAAACAAUAGGGAAAAUGUUCCUGGAUUAUUUUCUUUUAACUCACAACCUGAGCCAAUGGCUCAGGAUGACCUUUUGUGACCGCUCAAUGCCUGUUGUGUGUCAACAAUUUCUAAAAAAUCUUUCUGAAAACCAUUGGGCAGAUUUACACCAAACUUCACAGGAAUGAUCCUUUCAGGCAGGAACAUUUUUAAAGUUUUUCCCUUAUACUUUAGCCUGUAGCAUCCUUUAUUUAUUGAUUGACCUGUCCCAUUUUUUAGCUUGACUGUUCAGAAUGUAGGUAGAGUUAUUUGACUUAAGAUAGUUAUGCAUGUUUGAUAAAAUAAAACCUGAAUUUGACGUACAGAAAUGAAAGUCAUUUUGUAACGUAACACUUGGUCUGUGUACCUGAAGCUUGUCUUGAACACAACACGUUACGACAGUUCUAACAUUUAUUUUCUACGAAGAGCAAUGCACAGUAACUUAUAAAUGUUCAGUCUAAUUUCAUGAAUAUAAUCAAUGUUCAAUAAGUCUUUUAAAACAGUUCUGUUUACUGAUCUAUUUAACAACAUUUCUUAAUUAUAAAUAUAUUUCAAACUAGCUCUUAACAAAGCUUAUUAAGUUUCAGCUCAUGAGAGCGGGAACAAGUCCCUUAGCCCGCCACUUGGGCAGUCUCUCCCCCGAUCACAGAGUAUAUUGAGUUUAUAAAGUGUUAUACAGGAAAACACAGCAGACACAUUAUUUCACUUCCUGUCCACCUGGUAAUUAAACUUCGAUAUUAACUAAUGUUUUACACCCCGAAGCUACUGCAAAGUUGACAAGUUUCUUCUGAUUUUUGAAAUGUACAGUUAAAAUCUUAAUUGUCCGAAAGAAAUACCAAAAUAGAAAAUUAUAAACAUAGGUAUUACAUUACAAUUUUUAGCUCCAGUAUUCGGAGAAUAGGGGAACUAUUCUACUCGCCCCGUCGUUGGUGCGGCUUAGCUUUCUUGGUUAAAGUUUUUUGUCAACCUUCGUUUUUCUGUCAUAUCUUUGUUACUAUUGCUUAUAUCUUACUGUAACUUCACAUAAACAUUUUCCAGUAUACAAUCAAAGUAUGUGUAGGGGCUGAGACCAUUAUACCCAAGGUCAAUGUCACCAAGGUGUUAUACUUAGGUUAUUUUAAAGGUUAAAGUUUUUUGGCAGGAAGAAGGAAGGGUAUAUUGUUUUGCAGAUGUCGGUCAGUCGGUAUGUAGACCAAUCCGUUUCCGGAUGAUAACUUAAGAACGCUUGGGUGUAGGAUCAUGAAAGUUAUAUGGUGGUUGGUCAAAACCAGCAGAUGACCCCUAUUGAUUUUGAGAUUAGUAGGUCAAAGGUCAAGGUCACUAUGGCCCAGAUCAUUUAAACUUCGGAUGAUAACUCAAGAACACUUGGGCCUAGGAUCAUGAAAGUUGAUAGGGAGGUAGGUCAUGACCAGCAGAUGACCCCUAUUGAUUUUGAGGUCAAAGGUUGAGGUCACAGUGACCAGGAACAGUUCAAUGUUUUCUGGAUGAUAACUCAAGAAUGCUUUCGCCUAGGUUCAUAAAGUUGAUAGGGUGGUUGAUCAUAACCAGCAUAUGACCCCUAAAGAUUUUGAGAUCAAUAGGUCAAAGGUCAAGGUCAAAGUGACCCAGAACAGUUAAAUGGUUUCAGGGUGAUAACUUGAGAACAAUUUGGCCUAGGAUCAUGAAAAUUGAUAGGGAGGUUGAUCAUGACCAGCAGGUGGCACCUAUUGAUUUUGAGGUCAUUAGGUCAAUGGUCAAGGUCACAGUGACCAGGAACAGUUAAAAUGUGUAUGGAUGAAAACUUGAGAAUGCUUGGGCCUAUGACCCCUAUUGAUUUUGAGGUCAAAGGUCAAGGUCACCUUGACCAAGAACAGUAGCACUUUUAUGCUCAGUGACUAAAUAAUUUCUGUCCCUUGUGCAAUUACUGAAUGCAUCAAGGGGGCAUUUCGUGUUCUACAAGCUCUUGUUCUCUCAUAUCUUUGUUAAUAUUCCUUAUAUCUUACUGUUACUUCACAUAAACAUUGUCCAGUAUAAAAACAAAGUGUAUGUGUAGGGGCUGAGUCUGUUAUACCGAAGUUCAAGGUCACCAAGGUGUUAUACUAAGGUUAUUUUUAAGGUUAAAGUUUUUUGGCAACAUUUGUUUUUCUGUCAUGUCUUUGUUGCUGUUGCUUAUAUCUUACUGUAACUUUACAUAAACAUUAUCCAGCAUACAAACAAAGUAUGUACAGGGGCUGGGCCAAUUAUAUCCAAGGUCAAGGUCAUCAAGGUGUUAUAUUUAGGUUAUUUUAAAUGUUAAAGUUUUUUGGCAACCUUUGUUUUUCUGUCAUAUCUUUGUUAUUAUUGCUUAUAUCUUACUGUAAGUUCACAUAAAGCAUUGUCCAGCAUACAAAGUAUGUGCAAGGACUGGGCCCAUUAUACCAAAGGUCAAGGUCACAAAGUUGUUAUACUUGGAAUUAUUUUCAUGUUAAUUUUUUUCGAAAGCUUCGUUUAUAGACAUAUCUUUGGUGCUUUAAAAGAUGACUUGAAAUUAAAAGCUGUUGUUUAUAAUCAUCGUCAUCUGCAUGUGUGGUAACAAUCCCUGUAACUCUUGAUUUGUAUUUUUGACCAAAUUAUGCCCCUUUCAUACUUAAAUUUUUAUCUGUACCUCUCUGAUUAUUUGAUAUUUUUAACACAGACUCAUGCUAUGAUGCAAUAUUCAUCCACAGUUCUAGUUGGUCUUGUCAGUAACUUUACUAUAUUCAAGUAACUUGCCACAGUCACCAUAACAAAUUAAUUUGUUGCAUGUAAGAUUCAGACCUCUAACUCAAGGUUAAGGUCACCUUUAGAGAUGAAACAUUUUGGUAUUUUUUUAUCUGGUCUGUUACUUUUUUAUGCAUUGGUGUAUAUCUAAAUAACUUUGCAUACAUAAUAACCAUUACAAGACAUUGUGUCAUGUACAAAGGUCACAGACACUUAAGUUACCUUUUUUGUGUACAUGAAAUUUCUUCUCUUUUAUAUGAUAAAAGUACAAUACAUGUGCUUUAUGUCAGUUUUCCCACUAAUUUAAAAAUGAAAUUAUGUUUAUAAUUAUUAAAUAAGGUGAUUGUAAUGAUACAUGUAGAUAUAAAAAGCUAUUGAUAAUUGUAAAAAUCCAGAAUGCAAAACCCAAACACAGGAUAUAACUUUAUGGUAUAUAAUUAUAGGUAAAUAGAGAAUUACUUUAGUUGCAAUACCUUUAUAAUAGGUUGAUAUGUAGUGCAGUUCUGCAUUGAAAAAUAGUAGAAUUAACUUUUUUCUGGUGUGUUACUUAAAAACAAAGUUUUGUAGUAGCAUGUAAAUGUCAUGCAUUUCAUUUAUUAGCUCACUCUGAGCCUUUGCUCACUGUCCGGUGUCAGUCCACACUUUCCAUUAAACAACAUCUCCUAAACCACCAUGCUAAUUUUGAUGAAACUUCACAGGGAUGAUCCUUGGAUGAUCUUCUUCAAAAAAUUGUUCAAAGAAUUGAAUUCCGUAUAGAACUCUGGUUGCCAUGGCAACCGAAAAGAAAAACUUUAAAAAUCUUCCUAUCUAAACCACAAGGCCUAGGGCUUUGAUAUUUGGUAUGUAGCAUCAUCUAACAACAAUAUGGGCCUCUACCAAGAUUGUUCAAAUUACCCCCCUAAGGUCAAAUAUGGCCCCGGGGGUCACAUGGUUUAUAUAGACUUAUAUAGGAAAAACUUGAGAAUCAUCUUGUCCAAAACUAUAAGACCUAAGGCUUUGAUAUUUAGUAUGUAGCAUCAUCAUUCUAGUGGUCCUCUACCAAGAUUGUUCAAAUUAUCACCCUAGGAUAUAAUAUGGCCCCGCCUUUGGGGUGGGGGUCACAUUAUUUCUAUAGACUUAUAUAGGGAAAAUUUUUGAAAAUCUUCUCGUCAAAAACAAAAGGGCCUAGGCCUUUGAUAUUUGGUAUGUAGCAUCAUAGAGUUGGCCUUUAAAAAGAUUGUUUAAAUAAUUCCCCUAGGAUGAAAUAUGGCCCCGCCCAGGGGGUCACAUGGUUUUGUAUAGACUUGUAUAGGAAAAAAACUUUUUGUCUGAAACCACAACACCUAGGCUUUAGAUAUUUAGUAUGAAGAAUUGCCUUGUGAUCCUCUACCAAGAUUGUUCAAAUUAUUCCCCUGGGGUGAAAAAAGGCCCUGCCACGGCGUUCCCUAGUUUUACAUAGACAUAUAUAGGAAUUUUUUUUUUAAAUCUUCUUGUCUGAAAGUCCAAGGCCUAUGCCUUUGAUAUUUUGUUUGUAUCAUUACCUAGUUGAUCUCUAACAAGAUUGUUUGAAAUAUGUCCCAUGGGUGAAAAGAGGCCCUGCCCCAGGGGUCUGUUGAUGAGUUAUAUAGGAAAAAAUACUUCAAAAAUUAUCUGAUUAUAUUUCCUAGACUGUUUAAUUAUAUUUAAAAGAUGACCCCAACUCAUAACACCCGACUGUGACCUUGACCUACUGACCUACUCUUGUUUUUAGCUCACCUGAGCACGAAGUGCUCGGGGUGAGCUAUUGUAAUCGCUCACCGUCCGUCCGUGAGGCGUCCGUCCAUCCACACUUUCCUUUAAACAUCUCCUCCUAAACCAACAGGCCAAUUUUAAUGAAACUUCACAGGGAUGUUCCUUGGAUGGUCUUCUUUAAAAAAAUUUCAAAGAAUUGAAUUCCAUGCAGAACUCUGGUUGCCAUGGCAACCGAAAGGAAAAACUUUAAAAACCUUCUUCUCAAAAACUAGAAGCCCUAGAGCUUAGAUAUUUAGUGUGAAGCAUUGCCUAGUGGACCUCUACCAAGUUUGUUCAAAUUAUGACCCCCGGGGUCAAAAUUGACCCCGCCCCAGGGGUCACUUGAUUUUACAUAGGAAAAUCUUUAAAAAUCUUCUCAAAAACCAGAAGGCCUAGAGCUUAGAUAUUUGACAUGUAGCAUUGCCUAGUGGACCUCUACUAAAGUUGUUCAAAUCAUGACUCUGGGGUUAAAAUUGACCCCGCCCCAGGGGUCACUUGAUUUUACAUAGGAAAAUUUUCAAAAAAUUUCUAAAAAUAAACCAGAAGGCCUAGAUCUUAGAUAUUUGACAUGUAGCAUUGCCUAGUAGACUUCUACAAAAUUUGUUCAAAUCAUGACCCCCAGGGUCAAACUGACCCCGUACCGUGGGGUUACUUGAUUGUACAUAGAAAACUCUUCAAAAUUUUUUAAAAAUAAACCAGAAGGGCUAGAGCUUAGAUAUUUGACAUGUAGCAUUGCCUAGUGGACCUCUACAAAAGUUGUUCAAAUCUUGACCCCUUAGGGUCAAAUUGACCCAGCCCUAGGGGUUACUUGAUUGUACAUAGGGAAAUCUUCAUAAAUUUGCUAAAAAUAAACCAGAAGGCUUAGGUACUUGAUAUGUAACAUUGCCUAGUAGACUUCUACACACUUUGUACAAAUCAUGACCCCCGGAGUAAAGUUGGCCCCGCCCCAGGGGUUACUUGAUUGUACAUCGGAAAAUCUUCCAAAAAAUUUCUAAAAAUCAUCAGUUUGACAUUUGAAACAUGUAGCUCAUAUUACUCAGGUGAGCGAUCCAGGGUCAUCAUGACCCUCUUGUUAAAGAUACAGACUUAAAAUUUGGAUGACAUGUAUAAUUUUGCACACUUACCUUAAAACUGACGUUCAGUGAACAUGAAUAUAACCUACUGAUCUACUUAUUUUUGUUUUUGAUGCUUUAGCAAAGAAAUUUGUACAAGGAAGCAACUUAACUUAGGUGAGCGCGAUAUAGGGCCAUCAUGGCUCUCUUGUUUAUUAAUUACCUCCCUUUAAUAUGAUAAACUAUUUUAUUAUAUUUGUAUUUAUUUUUCCAUGCCAGUUUAAGAAUAAAAUCACAUUAAAUCUUAAAAUGAAAAAAAAAAAACAUUUGAAAGCAUUCACCAGACAUUUUUCAAACUACAUUUGUACAUGUACAUAAUGUUUUAUGAAUUAUAUGAUACAUAGUAAUGAUUUAUAUACAUUUUUAGUUUGUUGCCCUAUAAAAUAGAAGAAGAUGUAGUAUGUUUUGUGAAAAACGUCCCUUGUUGGGGGACGUUGGUAACUCUGUUACAAAAUUUCGUUUUACAUUAGUAUUGACGACAUAUGUUAUGCUGUUAUGUAAAUCUGUAGAUACUUGUUUAUUUUGUACUUCCUUUUGUGUGUUACUCGGAGUUUCUUUUCUUGAAUUGUUCCAUAUUUCUGUAAAGCUUUAAUUCACAUGCUUUCUGUGUAAAACUUUGUUACUUAAUGUAAUUAUAAUACAUAAAUUGUACCUAAAUGUAAUUGUUAAACAUACUCAUUAUUGAAUGUAAACAAAUCACAAUGGUUUCGUUUGUAAAGAAAAAUCAAAAUAAAGAUGGAAAUAUCAAUA